rnacentral:lncRNA from 1 species
CAAAGACUCAGCGGAAGACCGAAUCAGGCACAGCACCAGUGAACCAAGGAGCGACUCUUCAUAUCAGAGAUGGAAAAUCAGAUUUAUCCGGGAAUAAUCAUUAUGCCAGGUGGUAGAGACAAGAGGGGUCUGGAGUUUGAAGCACUGCGCUGUUUGAAUAGAAGAAAUUUCAUUCAACUAUGUGGAACCAGAUGCAUUUUUUUUUCUCAGAUAGUAGUGUUUCUAUUCUGGUACAAACCGUCAUUUUCUGAUUCUUCAUUCUCUCUUUUUCUUUUCUUUUGGAGGAGGACUGCUGAAAAUGUCAAAUAUACUUACAUGUAACUAGCAGUUCCACAUUAUUUUGCCUCAUACCUUGAGAAUAUGAUUGCAGUAGUAAUGAUGGAAUUCAAAAUUGUACUUUCUGAAAUUCCUCUCUUUGUAAAGUUAUAAGCAUAUUGUAUUUCUUAAAUGUUGCUGUGAAAACUGAUUAGAUGAAUUUUGGCAGUUCUCACUAAAUGAGGAUCUGAAUAUAAGGGGUCCAGAAUGAUAUAUCUUAAGUCCUCUUCUGAAUCAAUAAAUAAGAUUUCAGUGUUAUUCA